rnacentral:rRNA from 1 species
AUUGAACGCUGGCGGCAGGCUUAACACAUGCAAGUCGAGCGAGCGGCGGACGGGUGAGUAAUGUCUGGGAAACUGCCUGAUGGAGGGGGAUAACUACUGGAAACGGUAGCUAAUACCGCAUACCAUCAGAUGUGCCCAGAGGGUAGUAGCUAGUCUGUGGGGUAAUGGCUCACCUAGGCGACGAUCCCUAGCUGGUCUGAGAGGAUGACCGGCCACACUGGAACUGAGACACGGUCCAAACUCCUACGGUAGGCAGAAGUGGGGAAUAUGGCACAAUGGGCGCAAGCCUGAGGCAGCCAUGCCGCGUGUGUGAAGAAGGCCUUCGGGUUGUAAAGCACUUUCAGCUAGGAGGCGUUACUCGCAGAAGAAGCACCGGCUAACUCCGUGCCAGCAGCCGCGGUAAUAC